rnacentral:tRNA from 1 species
UGAGGCUUAGCUCAGCUGGGAGAGCAUCUGCCUUACAAGCAGAGGGUCGGGGGUUCGAUCCCCUCAGCCUCCACCA